rnacentral:rRNA from 1 species
CUACGGGGGGCUCCAGUGAGGAAUAUUGCACAAUGGGGGGAACCCUGAUGCAGCAACGCCGCGUGGAGGAUGACGCAUUUCGGUGUGUAAACUCCUUUUAUAUGUCAAGAAAAUGACGGUAGCAUAUGAAUAAGCACCGGCUAACUCCGUGCCAGCAGCCGCGGUAAUACGGAGGGUGCAAGCGUUACUCGGAAUCACUGGGCGUAAAGGACGCGUAGGCGGGUUAGAAAGUCAGGUGUGAAAUCCUACAGCUUAACUGUAGAACUGCAUUUGAAACUUCUAAUCUAGAGUAUGGGAGGGGGAGAUGGAAUUAGUGGUGUAGGGGUAAAAUCCGUAGAUAUCACUAGGAAUACCUAAAGCGAAGGCGAUCUCCUGGAACAUUACUGACGCUAAGGCGUGAAAGCGUGGGGAGCAAACAGGAUUAGAUACCCCGGUAGUC